UCAGAAGUUGUUGACAUAGGCAUCACACUUAUCUAUUUUGUGUAAACCUUGCUCUCUGCGAGUGCACUUAAUAGACAUGUCAAGUGGAAAUACCUGCUGUUAACAUUUUCUCUUGUCAUCAAGUGCUAGUCAUUGACCAACCAUAUCUAGCUUCAAAUUCCUGUUAACCAGUUUGCCAUGCACUCGUUAAAAAUUUGAGUUUGAGCAAAAAAUGUUGCCUGUCGUUUAGGUUUCUGGUUGUUGGGACAGCUUAAAAUCCAGGUAUUAUCAGAUUUAAGUGACAAUAGAAAAGUUUUGGAGACCGAGUAACAACCAAAUGACUCCAUGCUUAAAUUAACCAUUGCAGUUGGUGUUAUUCAAAUCUUUUUACCAGAUCUUAUUGAAAGAUAAUUUACCUUGUUUUUCUAUGGAAAAACAGUGCAACAAAAACUAUGCCAAACAAACUAAUACCCUAAACAGUAGUUCAGCAUGUUGGUAUUUUUCUGUAUAGUUUAAAUGAGCAAUAAGCAUGCAUGCUCUCUCUAUGUGAGCUUUGGCAAAAUUAAGAUUCUUAAUGGUACAAGUGGCAAGUUGGCUACAAGCUGGAUUGUUUAAAUGACUUACAAAUUCCAGUCCUGCAUGUGGCUUUUUUUUCCUCCUACAGCUCUCAUAUAGGCAUUUACAUGUUCCAUUUCAAGCAUUCCAUGAACAGUUUCAGAUGACCUGCAAAUCAUGUACCCUUGUUUUAAACUUAAUUUUGUGCACUUUGGUUGAAAUUCUAGUUGUCUGGAGACAGUCCGGAACAAAGGCAACAUUUUGUCAGCUUUUUAAACUAUUUCAACCACAGGUUGCACCAACAGAUCAUGACUUGCAUGGAAAGAUCUCUUCCCUUCAAAAUACUGGUAAUUUGAAGACUGCUGCUUUAAUAUUUUACACCACC
rnacentral:lncRNA from 1 species